GGGGAUGUAGCUCAGUCGGGAGAGCGCCUCGUUCGCAACGAGGAGGGCGCGGGUUCAAGUCCCGUCAUCUCCACCA
rnacentral:tRNA from 1 species